rnacentral:rRNA from 1 species
GUGCAGCAGGCGAGAAACUUCACACUGUGCGAAGCACGAUGAGGGAAUCCCAAGUGCUUGCACGUAAGUGUAAGCUGUUUCUCUGUCUAAAACGCAGAGAGAGUAAGGGCUGGGUAAGACGGGUGCCAGCCGCCGCGGUAAUACCUGCAGCUCAAGUGGUGACCGUUAUUAUUGGGCCUAAAACGUCCGUAGCCGGUUUAAUAAAUGCCUGGGUAAAUUGUGUAGCUUAACUAUACGAAUUCCGGGUAGACUGUUAAACUUGAGACCGGGAGAAGUUAGAGGUACUCCUGGGGUAGAGGUGAAAUUCUGUAAUCCUAGGGGGACCACCAGUGGCGAAGGCGUCUAACUAGAACGGGUCUGACGGUGAGGGACGAAGCCCUGGGGCGC